UACGAAGGGGGCUAGCGUUGUUCGGAAUUACUGGGCGUAAAGCGCACGUAGGCGGAUACUUAAGUUAGGGGUGAAAUCCCGGGGCUCAACCCCGGAACUGCCUUUAAUACUGGGUAUCUCGAGUUCGAGAGAGGUGAGUGGAAUUCCGAGUGUAGAGGCGAAAUUCGUAGAUAUUCGGAGGAACACCAGUGGCGAAGGCGGCUCACUGGUCCGGUACUGACGCUGAGGUGCGAAAGCGUGGGGAGCAAACAGG
rnacentral:rRNA from 1 species